UAAAUUUUCAAUCUAAUGUUGCCGGGCCUUUUUUCUCUCAAGUUUUCGCCGAGUAUGUUUCCGGUGCUUUCCUAUCCCUUCAGGGAGGGAAAGGUGUCUUUUUCCAACUUAACUAUAGGCUUCCCUCCCUAUCCCUAGUCCGAUUAUUUAUAAUUUGCUUUGGGUUGAUCUUUGAGGGCAGAUCUUCUUUCUUCAUGGUGAGAAAUUCCUGUAAAGGUUUGAUUUUUAUAAGAGUCGAUAAUGGAGUUCUGUUUUGGGUGGCUAUUUUAUGGGUUCGAUUUUUUCGCUUUGCUUGGUGGGAGGGACUUAAUUGCUACAACAGUGGUAUCUCUGGAGACUUGAAGUUCCUUCUUCUUUGAUAGAGCUGUCCCUCAAGGCUACAUGAGAUUUAAUGGCUGGUGAGUUCUACUAAGUCAACCUCUCGGAGCCUUAUUGCGUUUUUGUGUUGGUUGGGUCCUUAAGGUCCAGUGUUGGUGGGUUUGGGUGCCUUCGGUUCUAGAUUUUAGNNNNNNNNNUUUGAGUCUCUGCUCUAAUAGUCAACAUGUUAUUCUUCCUUGUUAGCGAAAUUGAUUGGUGCAGGUAGAAGGCAGCGGCGCCGGCAUGGCUGAGUGGUUUGAUCUUUCCUGUUUUGCCUAGGG
rnacentral:misc_RNA from 1 species